UGGACAGAUUAUUGUAUUCGACUGUAUUCAUGGCGUGAAAUAGGGGAUUACACUGUUUUUAAAACGAAAAGUGAAUCAAUUAACAUAAUAGACUCCU
rfam:Nicotiana attenuata strain TT chromosome 10, whole genome shotgun sequence.